UACAGAGGUCCCGAGCGUUGUUCGGAUUUAUUGGGCGUAAAGGGUGCGUAGGUGGCAAAGUAAGUUGGAUGUGAAAUCCUGGGGCUCAACCUCAGAAUUGCAUUCAAUACUGCUUAGCUAGAGAGCUGUAGAGGAGACUGGAAUUUACGGUGUAGCAGUGAAGUGCGUAGAUAUCGUAAGGAACGCCAGUGGCGAAAGCGAGUCUCUGGGCAGCAUCUGACACUGAGGCACGAAGGCCAGGGGAGCAAACGGG
rnacentral:rRNA from 1 species